CUCGUAGGCGGUUCGUGCGUCCGGUGUGAAAGUCCAUCGCUUAACGGUGGAUCCGCGCCGGGUACGGGCGGGCUUGAGUGCGGUAGGGGAGACUGGAAUUCCCGGUGUAACGGUGGAAUGUGUAGAUAUCGGGAAGAACACCAAUGGCGAAGGCAGGUCUCUGGGCCGUUACUGACGCUGAGGAGCGAAAGCGUGGGGAGCGAACA
rnacentral:rRNA from 1 species